rnacentral:rRNA from 1 species
UGGGGAAUUUUCCGCAAUGGGCGAAAGCCUGACGGAGUGACGCCGCGUGGGGGACGAAGGCCUUCGGGUUGUAAACCCCUGUCAGAGGGAAAGAAGCGUGCUGGCGUGAACAGCGCCGGCACGUGACGGUACCUUCAGAGGAAGCCCCGGCCAACUCUGUGCCAGCAGCCGCGGUAAGACAGAGGGGGCAAGCGUUGCUCGGAAUCACUGGGCGUAAAGGGCGCGUAGGCGGGAUGGCAAGUCGGUCGUGAAAGCCCCCGGCUCAACCGGGGAGGGUCGACCGAUACUGCCGUUCUUGAGGGAUGCAGAGGAGACUGGAAUUCCCGGUGUAGCGGUGAAAUGUGUAGAGAUCGGGAGGAACACCGGUGGCGAAGGCGGGUCUCUGGGCAUCUCCUGACGCUGAGGCGCGAAAGCGUGGGGAGCAA